rnacentral:rRNA from 1 species
GACGAACGCUGGCGGCGUGCUUAACACAUGCAAGUCGAACGGAAAGGCCCUGCUUUUGUGGGGUUCUCGAUUGGCGAACGGGUGAGUAACACGUGAGUAACCUGCCCUUGACUUUGUGAUAACUUCAGGGAACUGGGGCGAAUACCGGAGAGGAGCUCCUGCUGCAUGGUGGGGGUUGGAAAGUUUCGGCGGUUGGGGAUGGACUCGCGGCUUAUCAGCUUGUUGGUGGGGUAGUGGCUUACCAGGGCUUUGACGGGUAGCCGGCCUGAGAGGGUGACCGGCCACAUUGGGACUGCGAUACGGACCAGACUCCUACGGGAGGCAGUAGUGGGGAAUAUUGCACAAUGGGCGGAAGCCUGAUGCAGAAGCGUCGCGUGCGGGAUGACGGCUUUCGGGUUGUAAACCGAUUUCGCCUGUGACGAAGAGUGAGUGACGGUAAUGGGUAAAGAAGCACCGGCUAACUACGUG